rnacentral:tRNA from 1 species
GGCUCGGUAGCUCAGUGGUAGAGCAGGGGACUCAUAAGCCCUUGGUCGUAGGUUCAAAUCCUACCCGAGUCACCA